rnacentral:rRNA from 1 species
AUUGAACGCUGGCGGCAUGCCUUACACAUGCAAGUCGAACGGCAGCAUGGAGAGCUUGCUCUCUGAUGGCGAGUGGCGAACGGGUGAGUAAUGCAUCGGAACGUACCGUGUAAUGGGGGAUAACGUAGCGAAAGUUACGCUAAUACCGCAUACGACCUGAGGGUGAAAGCAGGGGAUCGCAAGACCUUGCGUUAUACGAGCGGCCGAUGUCAGAUUAGCUAGUUGGUGAGGUAAAGGCUCACCAAGGCGGCGAUCUGUAGCGGGUUUGAGAGGAUGAUCCGCCACACUGGGACUGAGACACGGCCCAGACUCCUACGGGAGGCAGCAGUGGGGAAUUUUGGAAAAUGGGGGCAACCCUGAGUCAGCCAUGCCGCGUGAGUGAAGAAGGCCUUCGGGUUGUAAAGCUCUUUCGGCCGGGAAGAAAUCGCACAGGCUAAUACUCUGUGUGGAUGACGGUACCGGCAUAAGAAGCACCGGCUAACUACGUGCCAGCCGCCGCCGUAA